ACAUUCCGACAGGGGAGCGCUCAGAGCGCUGAGAGUGCGGCACGGCCGCAGACCCUCGGACCUGAUCCGGGUCAUACCGGCGUAGGGAGUCAGCAUCAUCAUGAA
rfam:Streptomyces autolyticus strain CGMCC0516, complete genome.